GAUCAGCCCCCCCGCGGAUUUCUCUGCUGCUGCCGGUGCUUCCUCCGCCUGCAGUGCAUCGGCCGACGACGGCGACGUGCGGUGGAGCUCUCCUUUUCUCCCUCUUUUCUUCUUUGCUUGCUCCUUUUUUUUUUUCGUGGGUAUUUUUCUUUGAUGAUUUUUUUUUGCUUGAUUUGCUUUCUUUGGUGGUAGUAGAUGGGAGUAUAACGAUGGUGGCGGUUUGACGACGCACGGUGGCGAUGAGGCUGCUGUUUUUGCUUGAUUUUUCUCUCAAAAAUUUUGUUGUUUUUUUCUUUUUGCUUCCUUGCCUGGCUCCUUUUUUGGGGGGUUAAAAACCCCUUUUUAACUGAUUUUUCUUCUUCUUUUUUGCAGGUUGCAGGUGGCUAGGGAGAGGUAGGCCGGCCGCCGCCGUUGCAGGCGCAAGUUGGGCUGAUUGCUGCCACAGGGACCAAAUCGUAAAUGCAGGAAAAUUUUUGGGGCAAAAGUGUAAUUUUAUAAAGUUUAGAGGUUAAAAUAUAAUUUGGAGAACAUUUAGGGGUCAAAAUGUAAUUUAAAAAAGUUUAGGGGUUGAAGUAUAAUUUUGAGAAAGUUUAGGGGUCAAAAUGAAAUUUUAGAAAAGUUUAGGGUCAAAAUGCAAAAAAAUUAAAUUUUUUUUUUAAAAAAACGAAAGUUAUUCCUGAACAAAAUUCAGUGAUUACAAGGAGGAUUGAAGCCCAGUAAGUUAGGGCACAAUCCUCUCGAGAAUCUUAGAUACCAAGUAUUUUGAACAUUUAUGUGCAAAACGAUUUCGAUAUUUUUCUAAACAAAUGUAAUGCGAUUGAAUGGUAGUGCAUAAUUCAAAAUGAUAAUUCAUAAAUUACGAUACAUGCUAGUGAACGAUAAAUCAUCAAAUAAUAUAAACAAGCAAUAGAUAAAUUCAAACAAGAAUAGCAACAAUAAUCUCGAUCAGACAACAUUCAAAAAUUAAAUGAAUUACUAAUCAAUUUUUUUAAAGAUAUACUAAAAAAAUUAUAAAAUAUAAGUACCAAA
rnacentral:lncRNA from 1 species